rnacentral:piRNA from 1 species
UAUUAUGCCAGAUUUAAACCACUGGGCCUU